UGCACAUGUACCCUAAAAUACCAAUGCUGACUAACUGUAGGACCGUCACCAAUAUUAUCUUCUCCAAGGUUGGAAAACAACUGAAACAAGUUUAGGUAUUAAAAGAAGCAAGUUGUAUUUGCUGAGAACUGCAUAGAUGCUGCCAGCAAAGCAUACGUUGCCCAACAGCCCAAAUCAGCAUGGUGCAAAAUUCCGGACCUGAGAAGCCGAAUUAUUACUCUUAUUCCAUGACCGCUGGCCAACUAUAAAGAUUAAUAUUACACAUGUUAAAUUCCACUUAUUAUUUAUCAGUUGUGACAUCGUCUCAUGAACGCACU